GAUGAACGCUGGCGGCGUGCCUAAUACAUGCAAGUCGAGCGAACAGACGAGGAGCUUGCUCCUCUGACGUUAGCGGCGGACGGGUGAGUAACACGUGGAUAACCUCCCUAUAAGACUGGGAUAACUUCGGGAAACCGGAGCUAAUACCGGAUAAUAUAUUGAACCGCAUGGUUCAAUAGUGAAAGACGGUUUUGCUGUCACUUAUAGAUGGAUCCGCGCCGCAUUAGCUAGUUGGUAAGGUAACGGCUUACAAAGGCGACGAUGCGUAGCCGACCUGAGAGGGUGGUCGGCCACACUGGAACUGAGACACGGUCCAGACGCCUACGGGAGGCAGCAGUAGGGAAUCUUCCGCAAUGGGCGAAAGCCUGACGGAGCAACGCCGCGUGAGUGAUGAAGGUCUUCGGAUCGUAAAACUCUGUUAUUAGGGAAGAACAAAUGUGUAAGUAACUAUGCACGUCUUGACGGUACCUAAUCAGAAAGCCACGGCUAACUACGUG
rnacentral:rRNA from 1 species